rnacentral:ncRNA from 1 species
CCUCCCGCUUGGCUCCCUGAGCGGGGCCUGAGUCGUUGAUGUCCAGGCAUUGCCCCGGCCCGAGAAGGUCGGGGCUUUUUAU